CGGCUACAUCCGGAGACUAUCUCAGAGGACGCGACUAAAAACGGGGGCUAAUUUUUACAAGAGGGAGUUUAUACUCUCUGCUUUGUAGUACAUAGCAUGUUUGAACCUAUUCGAACGUGAUUUUUUGGAGGAUAUUUUGGAAUUAUUUUUCAAGGAACAUUCAGGAGUAGAGUUUAGGAAAGAUUAAGAGAAAAGAGAUAUUAGAAAGAAAGGACAGUGUAUCAAAUGGCUAUAAAUAUUCUCGGGGAAGACUGAAAGCACGAUAACAUAGUCACCAAACAAGAAAAAAAAUGUAUGCGUGUCUCGUUGCAUUGGACUAGAAAUGCAUAUGAUGCAUAACAGACAAUUCGAGUGUUAGUAAUUCCACAGUGCAGUAACAUUAAAGCAAUCUUACAUUCAACAUUUCCACAUCUUCAUCUAUUUCCAUAAGAAAGAUGUGGUUUUGUUUUAUACUUGCUUUUCUGGGAACUUUUCCUACUGCAAUGGCUUAUAAUAGUUUUGACUUUGGCGAUACUCUAGCAUUAAUUCUGGGUCUAAUCAUCGGAAUUGUUGGAUUUUUUGCUUGUAUGGGAGCUUAUGCUAGAAGACGAAGUCACUUUGAGACCUUAUGAUAAGCUGUAAUUACUCCAAAUGUGUUAGAAGUGGAUAUAACAUUUGCAAACAUUUGUUUUAAUUUGUUGCAAAUUUUACAAAAAUAAUUCUACUAUUAUAGUCAUGGAACAAUAGAAACAGCAAUUAAUAAAAAAGGUACAACUUCCCAUGUACAAAAAAAAAGGACAGUUUUUAAGCAUAUUUUUUGAAAGAAUUUGUUAUAUUACAAUGGUAUUAUUCGAUUUAUAUAUAAAAUUUAUUGUUAAUAAAAGAUAUAUAAGAUGA